UACGUAGGGUGCAAGCGUUAAUCGGAAUUACUGGGCGUAAAGCGUGCGCAGGCGGUUAUGUAAGACAGGUGUGAAAUCCCCGGGCUUAACCUGGGAACUGCAUUUGUGACUGCAUAGCUAGAGUACGGUAGAGGAGACUGGAAUUUACGGUGUAGCGGUGAAAUGCGUAGAUAUCGUAAGGAAGACCAGUGGCGAAGGCGGGUCUCUGGACAGUUCCUGACGCUGAGGCACGAAGGUCAGGGGAGCAAACGGG
rnacentral:rRNA from 1 species